AAGACACUACCAAAAAAUAGAUUCAUAAUGAAUAUGAUCCAUAAAACAUGCAUCAAAUGACAGAAUAAUGAUUGCAGAUUUUAGUAUUAGGCCCUCUAGCAAUCCCUUUGAUAGCAUGACCGUCUGGAUACAGUUUCCUGAAUUACCUGUGAAAUAUUAUGACAAGGAAGCUUUGUUUGACAUUGCUAAAAUGGCUGGAAGACCAUUACGGGUUGAUUAUGCUACUGAUCGCUUAACUAGGGCACGAUAUGCUAGGGUUUUCUUAGAUAUUGAUCUAACAAUCCCUUUGAUCACAAGUGUUUGGGUGGGAAAUAGUUGGCAAUCCAUUGAAUAUGAAAACAUUAAAUGUCUCUGUUUUUUGUGUGGAAAAAUUGGUCACACGAGAGAAAAAUGUAACCAAAAGAAAGUUGUUGUUGAUAAUGGAAAAAGCAUUGUGGAAAAUUCUUCACUUUCUAAAGUGGAUAAAGGUUUGUUAGAUACUCCAUCAUCCUCCACUAACCACAAUUUGGGGGUUUUGGUUCCCCAUACAGAUUCUCAAUUUGGGUCGUGGACUAUAGUCACGAACAAGAAAAAGCACAACCAGAAUAACUUGCAAAAAAAAAUAUAUAAUAGUGGCCUUCUACCAAAGCCCAAACAAGGCCCAGCCCACACCUCUACCACUUCUAAACCCAAUCUAAUAGCCAAAAAACUAAAAAAUCUUCUACUCUUCCAAAAGCAAAUAAACUCAUCUUCCUCUUCUAAUGCUUUUGCUAUAUUGGACUCCACUGAAAAUUUACCAGCCAAUGAAACAAUAUCCCCUAAUAAAAUAAUCAAAAGCAAUGAUAAGAUCCUUCUUGAAAAUUACAAACAAAAACCCCCAAUUUCAUCUUCCCCUAUUCUCCCACACGCUUCAUCUUCCCCUUCCAUUACCUUCUCCUCAGACCUUUCUUGCCACCUGGCAAAUAGCAACUCGCCUUAAACAAUGGCGGAAGCCAAACCCUCUCAUAAUUUAAACUCACAGCAAAAACCAAACACAUAAAAUUUAACCUUGAAACCUCUUACCCAUGGAAAAUCAACACCCAACUCCACCUCAUGACCUGUCAACUCCCCAUAACCGACCUCUCCACGGACUUCCCAUCACCCAAGCUCAACCACUAUCCAUGAGAAUGUCAUUCUCUCCUUACCCCAAUCACCACCACCAUCCCAUAAUUUUCCAUUCAACAACUCAUUGACACCGUCACAAAUCAGGGAGAUAGUCCGGAUUCCGCCACCACGAUCUCCUCUUCUAUGGUCAUCGAUCGAUUCCCAGCCAACUCCGGCGAAGAUCGAGAUGAUGUACAACACUCUCCUUUAAAUAACAGAUCUUAUGAACAAGCAAUUCACUCAAUCUCCGCCUCCUCCACCACCAACAACUCCACAACCAACCCUUCGACCAUGGUAUCAGCAACAAGUUGCAUGGCCGAAUUACCAGAACCAUCCCCUUACCCCUCCACCUUUCAACCCCCAAAUAAUCACUCUCUCUUCGGAAAACAGCGAGCAAGACCUAGAAAACCCAAAACACCUUAUGAAAAUCUUCAGAAUCGGAAAGGGAGUGGUGGGUUUACAAAUAGAAGUCAACUUUUGGGAAACAACGAACACAAAUAGGGAACUACACUCCAUGGUGAUUCCCUUGAAGAUGCACGACACUGUUCUGAUGGAUCGAACAAUGUCAUGGAAGGAAUGGGAUAAAUUGAUCCCCUGUUCUGCAAUGGUAAGCCAAUUCCCCCUUUUCCUGAUCUUGAUAUGAAGAUUGUUUUGUGGAAUGUCUGUGGAGCUACUAGGAAUGAGUUUAUACCUCAUGCAUGGGAGGUAAUCGCAGCUCACAAGCUGAGCAUUUUCAUCAUACUUGAAACUAAAAGUGAUGGAUGUCGUGCAACUCAAGUUUCUAAGUUACUUGGUUUUGAUGCUUUCGAGUUUGUCAAGCCUAAUGGCCUUCGUGGUGAAAUUUGGCUAAUGUAUAAGAACAGUGUUGAACUCAUCCAAUAUCAGGAGGGUAUUACCAGAAACUUUUUUCAUGCUUUAUUCAAGUUCACUCCUGACAGUAAGGAAGUGUUGCUUACUGUAGUGCAUGCACCUUCUUCCCGUUCUGAAAGGCAUAAGUUGUGGAAUGAUUUAAAAUCUUCCCUUCCGCCAAAUGACACUCCAUGGUUAUUCUUGGGUGACUUGAAUGAAGUAACAAGUCCAUCCGAAAAAUUUUGAGGCCUCAAAUUCAGACAAUCUCAGUGUUCGGAUUUGAACAAGCUUGCUGAUGCUACUUGUUUGGUUGACUUGGGGUUUUCUGGAAACCCUUUCACAUGGCACAAUGCUAGAGAGGGCCUUAAUUUAAUUCAGGAACUCUUGGACAGGGAAAUGGGGAAUCCGAGCUGGCUAAACACUUAUACAAACACUCAGGGAAGGAUGGAUAGACCUUCAUCAUCUUCAGUCAACUCAGUCCCAAGGACCUGGGCUCCACCUCAGAAAGGCUUUUACAAGCUUAACACCGAUGGUUCCUGGAUGGACAUUGAUAAUGCAGGUGGAGGAGGUGUCAUCAGGUGUGACAAGGGAUGUGGGUUGUUGGCUUUGCAAUAAGGUUCAAUGCCAUGUCUGCAGCAACUGCUGAGCUUCUUGCCAUUAGGGAGGGCCUGAUAACUGCUUGGAGCAAAGAAAUCAAACAGCUGGAGUUAGAAACAAAUGCUGAGGCUCUUUCUAAGAUGCUCAAAGACCCUAAAUCAUGUGAAGAUCAUGACCUUGGAAAUGUUAUCAGGGAUGUUGCCUCCUUGCUGGAAAGGAACUGGACAGUUUCGAUCUUCCAUGCUAACAGGUCUUGUAAUUUUGUUGCUGACAUAUUAGCAACCAUUGGCAGGACCAAGAUCAAGGUUGGUGAGAGGGUUCCUUAUAACUACCCUCCAGCUGCAACCUUCGAAGCUUAUGCAUCCGAGAUCCCUAAUAUGCUAGCAGCCUAGCUUGGUGUUUAGUUCUCUUCCAGCAGCACCUUUUGAUCAGCUUGUGUUGUUUGCUAUUAGUUAUGCUUGCUUAGUAUAUAUUACUAGUGCUUUUACUUUUUAUUUUCAAACUCUAAACUAUGCCUAUAAGGUAAUUUUAGGUAAUUCUGGGUUGCUACACAUGUGCUCGAAUUAUCUUUCUUUUGCUAGAUGGCUUCAUGCCAUCCUUAUCUAA